CCCUUUAUCUAGAUCAAAGACUAUUGAGUUUACGGUUCCAGUGGUUCUACAAACACUUUACCAAUGAGAUCCAGCUUCACCAUCGCCGUGACGUUACUGUUGGCCAUUGCUUUUGUGAGUUCUACUGUGAUUAUGUCAGACACGGAAGAACAGUUCCCCGGAAACGAUAUUAAACAUAUUUACAAGAUGCAAGAUGAGAUAGCUUUAAACGAAGAAGAAGAAGGAGGCCAGAGAAACCUUGUGAAGAGUCGUGAGGAAAACGAAGACUCAGGAUGGUAAUCAAGAUAAAUAUUGCCCCACGCUGUGGGCCCUGCCAUAUCGUGGCUUUGCCACGAUACAUGAAAUGAGGAUCGUGACAUGAGACAAGAUAAAUGUAGACUACUGUGGGACCUUUUUAAAAAAGACAGCAUUGACUUUUCAUCCGAUCAGUUGUUUGUCGGCAUCCACUUCUUUUUUAUUUGGCCGCUUUCCUCUUUUCAGAACUGUAGAAGUAUCCUUGUCGAUUGUUAGCUAUUAUCGUGCAGCAAUGAGAUUUGUGAUCAAUUUUUGAGGAUAUUUUCUUCCCGAUUACUGGUAUUCGUUACAGUGAUUAUGCAUUGAA